rnacentral:lncRNA from 1 species
GUUUAUUAUAUACACAUACAUUUAUGCUGUUUGCCAAAAUUUUCAAAAUCAAUUUGUUCUACUUAUAUACAUAUCUAAAAUUAAGGUAACAGUAAAAAUAUAAAAAAAGUUUUGAGUUUACACAAAUAGUAUCCGAAGCUGUAUUAGUUUUACCAAAUGUUAAUGACUAUUUUAUGAAACUGCAAUUACUUCGGAUUAUUCAUAAAGUUUACAUGAUAGCUUCUCUCUUUACAUAACAAGUUCAGACAUUCUCACAUUACAAUUUAAC